rnacentral:tRNA from 1 species
GGGCCCGUAGCUCAAUUGGUUAGAGCUGACGGCUCAUAACCGUCUGGUUGCAGGUUCGAGUCCUGCCGGGCCCACCA